UAUGUACUCCCUCCGUCCGAAAAAGCUUGUCCCAAACUUGUUUCUCAAAUGGAUGUAUCUAGCACUAACUUGAUCCUAGAUACAUUCAUUUGGGGGACAAGCUUUUCUGGACGGAGGGAGUACGUU
rfam:Triticum aestivum genome assembly, contig: Triticum_aestivum_CS42_TGACv1_scaffold_092893_2AL